UUACACAUGCAAGUCGAACGGUAACAGGCCUUCGGGCGCUGACGAGUGGCGAACGGGUGAGUAAUGCAUCGGAACGUGCCCAGUCGUGGGGGAUAACUAUCCGAAAGGAUAGCUAAUACCGCAUACGAUCUGCGGAUGAAAGCGGGGGACCUUCGGGCCUCGCGCGAUUGGAGCGGCCGAUGUCAGAUUAGGUAGUUGGUGGGGUAAAGGCUCACCAAGCCAACGAUCUGUAGCUGGUCUGAGAGGACGACCAGCCACACUGGGACUGAGACACGGCCCAGACUCCUACGGGAGGCAGCAGUGGGGAAUUUUGGACAAUGGGCGCAAGCCUGAUCCAGCAAUGCCGCGUGCAGGAAGAAGGCCUUCGGGUUGUAAACUGCUUUUGUACGGAACGAAACGGCUCUGGUUAAUACCCGGGGCUAAUGACGGUACCGUAAGAAUAAGCACCGGCUAACUACGUGCCAGCAGCCGCGGUAAUACGUAGGGUGCAAGCGUUAAUCGGAAUUACUGGGCGUAAAGCGUGCGCAGGCGGUUUUGUAAGACAGGCGUGAAAUCCCCGGGCUCAACCUGGGAAUGGCGCUUGUGACUGCAAAGCUGGAGUGCGGCAGAGGGGGAUGGAAUUCCGCGUGUAGCAGUGAAAUGCGUAGCUAUGCGGAGGACACCGAUGGCGAAGGCAAUCCCCUGGGCCUGCACUGACGCUCAUGCACG
rnacentral:rRNA from 1 species